rnacentral:tRNA from 1 species
GGAGAGAUGGCUCAGUGGUUAAGAGCACUGGCUGCUCUUCCAGAAGACCCAAGUUCAAUUCCUGGUACCUUAA